AUUUAAACAUUGAAGAUUCCUUUCAAAAGGUGAAUGGAUAAAGACAACAUGUUAUAUCCAAGCAAUGAAAUACUAUUCAGCAGUAAAUAGCAAUAAAAAGGAGUGGCUAUCAAACCACACAUGCACAUGACUGAAUCUUAAAUGCAAAUUAUGCUCCAUGAAAAUAGACAGAAUGAGGGGCUAAAUAUUGUAUGAUUUCAAUUCUGUGACAUUUUGAAAAAGGCAAAAUUAUAGAGACAUUUUAAUAAGGGUUUUCCUGAGAAACUAAACCAACAGGAUAUAUGUAUGUGUGGGGUGUGUGUGUGUAUUUAAAGAGAUUUAUUACAAGGCAUUGGCCUACACAGUUAUGGAGGCUAGCAUGUCUAAAAUGCACAAUUUAGGUUUGCAGGCUAUAGACCCUGAGACUUGAUGGUGAGUUUCAGUCCAAAGCCAAUAGGCUGCAGACUCCAAAAGAGACAGUGAUGCAGAUGAGGUCUAAGGCAGCUGCUGAAGAAUUCCCUCUUGCUCACAGAGCCACUCUUUUUGUAUUCUUCAGGUCUUCAACUGAUUGGAUAAGGCCCAGCCACAUUAUUCAGGACACUCUGCUUCAGAUUCAGUGUUUAAAUGUUAAUUUAUCCAAAAACACCCUUCAAGUUGGCAUUUAACAUUAACAUCACAGAUUGUGUAGAGAUCAGUUGUUCCCGGGGGUUGUGGAAGGGAAGAUGUUUUUUGAAUAGGUGAAGUGGGGAGACUUAUUUUUAGGGCAGUGGAACUAUUUUCUAUGAUACUGUAAUCUAACUAUAUCACAAAUAUAUGAACAAAUUCUACUAAAGAGAUGUGGAGAAGAGUGUUGACUUAACUGGAAAUUAGUGGUGUCUUUAAAACUAAAAGCUGAAGGAACUGUAUAUGAGUGCAGUAUUCUAGUUGACAAAUUUAUAUCUUACAUGCUUACAAGUUAAUAAUUCUAAAUCGAUUAUAUAUGAAUAUGGGAACUGAGAAGUUAUGUAAGAUGGUGGGAGCCAGUUUUCUUAUUGUUAGACUAGUAGUUUACAGAUAAGCAAUAUAAAAAGGCAAGAGUGAUCUAUGUGGUCAUGGAGUUGGAGAUAUAAUGCUUAGUUUAAUAUAGACACACAUGGUUACAUUUAGAAAUGCAUAUAUAUAUAUAUAUAAUGUAUAUAUAGGGGUUAAUAUACAUACAUAUAUCUCCUUGCUCUGUCAUCUGGGAGGGCUUAGAAGCAAUGCUACCCCAGUAGUCACAGCAUACCUGCCACCCAGUACCAAUGUCUAGUAAAAGGAACCAGGGCUCCUUAAAGAAAUGGAUUUUGCACAUGUGGCAGGAAAAGCACAAGAUGAGCCUGAAGGAUCUUAUAGUACCAGAAAGUAAGAAAGUUCCCCCAAACCCCCUAAUGUGUGUUGGGGGUUAAUGUCAAAGGAAUUAAGGAGGCAUCUGAAAAAGUUCCCAGUGACCAAAGCAGUAAUAAUUCCAGCAAAACAAAGUCGCUUUGGAAUAUAACCCAGGGAUAAAAAAAAGUAUUCAUGAGUCCAUACUGAUAUAAAUGAUUGAAUAAACAAAUAAGGAAGAAAUGUUGAUCUCCCAUGCAGAAUAAUUCCAAAUACUAUAUGUAGAUUAUUCUGCCUUUAAGGAAGUUGAGCAUAAUAAGUUCUCCUCUCCUUGAGGUUGAGCUUUGCAUAGUGACUUCCUUCCGAAGAUUAUAGCAUGCAAAGUCGAGAGUGGGGCUGGGGGAGUAGCAUUAUAGUGGAGAAACCUGACAAACAUGACUUCAGCCAGGUGGUCACUGGCAGCAUCAAGAGUGAUAAGUCAUGUUAAUACUCUGUACCCUUGAUAAGAUGUGAUGAGAAUGGCACUUUACAUCUUUGGUCUCCCUUCCCAAAACCCAUAGAACCAAAUUAGUCUGAGAAAAACAUCAGACAAUUUCCAAUAGAGGGAUGGUCUUCAAAGUAGCUGACCAAUACUUCUCAAACUGUUGAGGUUAUCAAAACAAGGAAAAUCCGAGAAACUAUCACAGACCUGAGGAGAUGAAGGAGACAUGAUGAUUAAAUGCAGUGGGGUAUCCUGGGUGGGAACAUGCAACAUAAAAAUGACAUUAGGUAGAAGCGAAGAGCUUAGUUAAUAAUAAUGUGUGAAUAUUAGUUUAUUAGUUUUGACAAAGGUAUGGUAUCAAUGUAAGAUGGUAGUAAUAGGGGGAACUGGAUGUGGCAUAUAUGGGAAUUUGGUACUAUAUUUGCAGUUCUUCUGUAAAUAUCUGUUCUAAAAUAAAUUGCUUAUUAAGAAAAAAGGAAAAUGAUCUUGCUUGUAUAGUGUUAUUGGAGUGGACAUUCAUGACUGACUUUAAAAAGACCAGUGCAAAGAAAGUACCUCUGGACCAUGUGCAUUAAUUUCCUAGGUCUGCUGUAACAAAUUACCACAAACUGAGGAGCUUUAAACAGCAGAAAUUUACUCUCACACGGUUCCAGAGCCCAGCAGCAGAAUCAAGAUGUCCGCAGGGCCAUGCUCAUCUCUGGAGGUUGUAGGGGAGAAUUCUUCCUUGCCUCUUACAGCCUCUGGGAACUUCCGGCUUUCCUUAAAGUUCUUUGGCUUGUAGAUGCAUCACUCCAGUCUCAGCCUCUGUCUUUACAUGGCCUUCUCCCCUGUAUUUCUCUGUUCCCUCCUUUUCUGUCUCUUCUGAGGACUCCUCACUGAAUUUAGGGCUCACCCUAUCCACGAUGAUUUCAUUUUGAGAUUCUUUCCUUUAUUACCUCUCUACAGCUUUAUUCCAACUAAGGUCCCAUUCUGAAUUUCUAGAUAAUGAUACCUGUUUUGGGGGUCACUGUUCAACCCACACACAUCAUGGCAUAUCCAUAAGGUGUUCAAACACCUGCAGUGCAAAAGAAGCCUGUAUAAAAAUAAAGUAAUCUGCAGUAAAAAUGAGCAUACUACUGGUCUACCAUGUUAAAAUUGUCUUAAAAAUGAUGAUUACAAUAACAAUAAGUAAUCAUUUUUGAGCUCUCACCAUAUGCUAGACACUGAUGGGAAUGCUCUACAUAUAUUAUCUCUCUUAAGCUUCACACUUCAGUUACCCUUGCUUUGUGGAUGGUGAAACUGAGGCACUGACAAGUGAAUGAACUUGCCUUAAGUCCUACUACACAGCUGGUCAUUUUCGGAUUUGUUUGUAGCAUUUGUUAAGUUAAUAUACUGCAUGUAAAAUGUAUAUCCAAACAUUUGUAAAAAUUCUGAAUCCCUCUGUGGAACCUGAGGAUUCCACUUUAAGUCUUUAAAGCCAUGGAAGCAUUGAGUGUUCUUAUUAGCAGCUUGAUAUAAAGAUUUAUCAGUCCCUUUUGCAGGGGGUUCCUGUGAUAAAGAUCAAUAGUGUUUUUUUUAUUUAUAAGAUUUCAGGCAGGAUUCCAUCUCGGUUAUCCAUCUGUCUUCCAGUCAGCACUUACCUUGUCUCAUAAAUUUCUGUUUUCCUCUGAAAAUGAUUUACUUUCAUGUUUAGGUUUCCCUCUCACUAGGAUAAUUUCCUCCCCUCUCCUCUGUGCACAUGCACACACAGGCUUUUUUAUCCAUUUAAAUUUGUGUCUUUCCCCAAAGACUUACAAAUUCCAUCUUAAUGAUGUAAAGACUUAUAAACUCUGCUACAAGCAAAUGUAGCAUUUCUAGACUAGUAAAACUAUGUAGAUGCCAAGUAAAUGUAUAUAAUGAAAUAAGUGAUUCAGAUAAAACAAUUAACAGAUGGCAGGAACAAUUAUAUGUUCACAUUCCUGGCCAACAGCAUUUGGUAGAUAUAAUUACCUUACAGGUGUUAACUGCCCUCCUAUCAUGGAAUGAGACAUCUCUAAACACUAGAGAGGCACAGUAAAAUGACUAAUGGCCACAAAUUAGUAAAAAUUCUAUUGGCUUGUUUUUUAGACAUGAAUCAGAAAGCUAAAUUCGGUUCUUGGAAUCUAGUGCUAAAUGCAGAAAAAGUGGAACUUAAGCAGGAGAGCAGGUGUGGUGUAAUCUUAACUUUGAUUGCUGGGGUGGGGAAAAUACCCUGAACAUUAAAAGACAUUUAAAAUUCACUCAACAUUUGGAAGGUACAAAGUCCAAAGACAAUCAUUCAGGGAAAAGGAAGCAGCUGUUAUGAAGUAUGCCUUUAAGUUUUUUAAAAUUACCUGAGUUUCAUAUGCAAAAUAGAUUGUAAUACUAAUUUCAAAAAAAGUUUCUGUGCACCUAAGUUUGUAGAUGUUUCUUUAUAACCUUAAGAGUAUUAUACUGGAAAUGAAAGUACAAUUUUUUGUGCUCUUAUGUUUCAUGUUUUAAAAUACAAUAUAAUCAUUUUGAUCAGAAGUAUUUGAAAACAGACAAACACAUAUACACAAACUAGGUGAUUCAAGCAUUGUCUUUUAUUUUUGCAUUGUGAAGAAUAAAUAUUUGGUACUUCCAUUUAACAUUUCUAUCAGUUGCAGCAAUCAGCCCAAGGAAGUACUAAAUGAAUCUCAGUCUCUCUGAUCAAAAUUGGGAAAUUUCCUCACUUCCCUUCUGCCUCUAGUUAAUUCUGAAUCUCUGAAUUUAAGAUAUUCU